rnacentral:siRNA from 1 species
GUUAAUUCUGUCAGACUCACCAAC